UACGGAGGGUGCGAGCGUUGUCCGGAAUCACUGGGCGUAAAGGCGCGUAGGCGGCUGGGAAGUCUGUGGUGAAAGCUCGUGGCUCAACUACGAGUCGGCCAUAGAUACUCCUCAGCUCGAGCACUGUAGAGGCAGGUGGAAUUCCGGGUGUAGCGGUGGAAUGCGUAGAGAUCCGGAAGAACACCAGUGGCGAAGGCGGCCGCUGGGCAGCGGCUGACGCUGAGGCGCGACAGCGUGGGGAGCAAACAGG
rnacentral:rRNA from 1 species